rnacentral:rRNA from 1 species
GGCUCAGAUUGAACGCUGGCGGCAUGCCUUACACAUGCAAGUCGAACGGCAGCGGACCUUCGGGUGCCGGCGAGUGGCGAACGGGUGAGUAAAGUAUCGGAACGUACCUUUCAGUGGGGGAUAACUGUCCGAAAGGACAGCUAAUACCGCAUAUUCUGUGAGCAGGAAAGCAGGGGAUCGCAAGACCUUGCGCUGAUUGAGCGGCCGAUAUCAGAUUAGCUAGUUGGUGAGGUAAAGGCUCACCAAGGCGACGAUCUGUAGCGGGUCUGAGAGGAUGAUCCGCCACACUGGAACUGAGACACGGUCCAGACUCCUACGGGAGGCAGCAGUGGGGAAUUUUGGACAAUGGGCGCAAGCCUGAUCCAGCCAUGCCGCGUGAGUGAAGAAGGCCUUCGGGUUGUAAAGCUCUUUCGGCCGGGAAGAAAUCGCACAGGUUAAUACCCUGUGUGGAUGACGGUACCGGAAUAAGAAGCACCGGCUAACUACGUG